CGCCAAGCUACAGUAUUCCAGAGUGUCC
rnacentral:piRNA from 1 species